CUUCAGGGCCCAGCGCUCCACCCGGCAGUGCAGCCUGUGCAGCAUGGACGGCCUCCAGCUCCGCACAGAACGCACCUGGGGAGGAGGAAUGGCCACCAGCAGAUCUAGGCCUUGCCGUAGAGAAAAUGAUUCGGGAGAUCAGGAGGUCCCUGUCUGAAAGAUCUCCCUCUGCUCAGGACAAUGUUGGUGUUGCCCCUGAUUCUUCAGGAGGGGAGCCUGUGAACAGAGCUGCAGCAGAGGAAGCUUCAUCUGGCACCGAGAGCUGCAGGAACAGUUCCCAGGAGCCCGAGGAGCCUGAUGCCAUCUGACCAACAUCUCCAGGAGGGCUGCCCUGCAUGGCAGGAAGAGACAGGGGAGAGCCUGUGACCAUCAGGCAGG